rnacentral:rRNA from 1 species
AGAGUUUGAUCAUGGCUCAGAUUGAACGCUGGCGGCAGGCCUAACACAUGCAAGUCGAGCGGUAGCACAGAGAGCUUGCUCUCGGGUGACAAGCGGCGGACGGGUGAGUAAUGUCUGGGAAACUGCCUGAUGGAGGGGGAUAACUACUGGAAACGGUAGCUAAUACCGCAUAACGUCGCAAGACCAAAGUGGGGGACCUUCGGGCCUCAUGCCAUCAGAUGUGCCCAGAUGGGAUUAGCUAGUAGGUGGGGUAACGGCUCACCUAGGCGACGAUCCCUAGCUGGUCUGAGAGGAUGACCAGCCACACUGGAACUGAGACACGGUCCAGACUCCUACGGGAGGCAGCAGUGGGGAAUAUUGCACAAUGGGCGCAAGCCUGAUGCAGCCAUGCCGCGUGUAUGAAGAAGGCCUUCGGGUUGUAAAGUACUUUCAGCGGGGAGGAAGGCGAUAAGGUUAAUAACCUUGUCGAUUGACGUUACCCGCAGAAGAAGCACCGGCUAACUCCGUGCCAGCAGCCGCGGUAAUACGGAGGGUGCAAGCGUUAAUCGGAAUUACUGGGCGUAAAGCGCACGCAGGCGGUCUGUCAAGUCGGAUGUGAAAUCCCCGGGCUCAACCUGGGAACUGCAUUCGAAACUGGCAGGCUAGAGUCUUGUAGAGGGGGGUAGAAUUCCAGGUGUAGCGGUGAAAUGCGUAGAGAUCUGGAGGAAUACCGGUGGCGAAGGCGGCCCCCUGGACAAAGACUGACGCUCAGGUGCGAAAGCGUGGGGAGCAAACAGGAUUAGAUACCCUGGUAGUCCACGCCGUAAACGAUGUCGAUUUGGAGGUUGUGCCCUUGAGGCGUGGCUUCCGGAGCUAACGCGUUAAAUCGACCGCCUGGGGAGUACGGCCGCAAGGUUAAAACUCAAAUGAAUUGACGGGGGCCCGCACAAGCGGUGGAGCAUGUGGUUUAAUUCGAUGCAACGCGAAGAACCUUACCUGGUCUUGACAUCCACAGAACUUNUUGGUGCCUUCGGGAACUGUGAGACAGGUGCUGCAUGGCUGUCGUCAGCUCGUGUUGUGAAAUGUUGGGUUAAGUCCCGCAACGAGCGCAACCCUUAUCCUUUGUUGCCAGCGGUUCGGCCGGGAACUCAAAGGAGACUGCCAGUGAUAAACUGGAGGAAGGUGGGGAUGACGUCAAGUCAUCAUGGCCCUUACGACCAGGGCUACACACGUGCUACAAUGGCAUAUACAAAGAGAAGCGACCUCGCGAGAGCAAGCGGACCUCAUAAAGUAUGUCGUAGUCCGGAUUGGAGUCUGCAACUCGACUCCAUGAAGUCGGAAUCGCUAGUAAUCGUAGAUCAGAAUGCUACGGUGAAUACGUUCCCGGGCCUUGUACACACCGCCCGUCACACCAUGGGAGUGGGUUGCAAAAGAAGUAGGUAGCUUAACCUUCGGGAGGGCGCUUACCACUUUGUGAUUCAUGACUGGGGUGAAGUCGUAACAAGGUAACCGUAGGGGAACCUGCGGUUGGAUCACCU